rnacentral:lncRNA from 1 species
GGCCGCCCGGGGCUCUGGGGACUCGGGUGUCCAGGUGCCGAAGUCGCCGCUUCCACGGGGGACUCAGGCCCGUGAGUGGGUUUCCUAAGAACUUACCAGAUUCCACGGCUCGGGUUUCCUGCCUUGGAUCCUGCUUUUUAUUCCCCAGGGGGAGUUAUUUAUAGACAGGAAUCGUGUGUUCAAGGCCUGGCUCUUCGGACUCGGCGUUUUUCUUGUUCGAGGUGCUUCAAUGGGGGCUGGAUGCCAUCAUCUUCCAUCCAUUGAAGACUUGAACAAGUGGGCCCUAUUUCUUGUGUCUCCUUUUAUACUUGAAGCAGAACACAUAGCAUUUGUGACGGAGAGCAUUUGGGUACAAAGUGAGAAUUUACAGAGAUCAUCCUCUUCAGAAACAUUGUCAAGUGGUCAGACUGUUGUUUGCCAUUAGCUUGCAGACCUGGGGAUCCUUAUCGGCUAAUUGCUGAAGCAAGUGUGGACAACUUCAGCAAGCUGGGGGUGGCGUUCAUGGAAGAUAGACUCCACAUGGAUAAUGGACUGGUACCCCAAAAGAUUGUGCGGUGCACUUGCAGGACUCCACUCUGAAGGAAGUUAAGGAUCAGGUCUCAAACAAGCAAGCCCAGAUCCUAGAGCCGAAGCCUGAACCUUCUCUUGAGAUUAAGCCUGAGCAGGACGGUAUGGAGCAUGUUGGCAGAGAUGACCCAAAGGCUCUUGGUGAAGAACCCAAACAAAGGAGAGGCAGUGCCUCUGGGAGUGAGCCUGCUGGGGACAGUGACAGGGGA